AAUAUAGUGGCUGAUAAAAGUAUUAGACUGUAAAUCUAAUUAUGGGUGAUUAACCCCUAUAUUA
rnacentral:tRNA from 1 species